rnacentral:snRNA from 1 species
GUGCUUGCUUUGGCAGCACAUAUACUAUUGGAAUGAUACAGAGAAGAUUAGCAUGGCUCCUGCACAAGGAGACAUGCAAGUUUAUGAAGUAUUGCACAUUUUU